GUCAUUUGAGAAGAAAACAGCAUAUAUGUAGUAUGAUUCUUGAAAAACUGUUUAUCAUUUCCUGUUGUAUAGUGUCAGGUAAAUGGCUACGCAUUAUAUAGUGAAUGGUACAUUUGUAAAUGCGAGUGUGUGAUUAUGCUUGUCGUAUUCGGCUUUUAAAAGCAUCAUCAGGUGGUGAAGAGUUGUAGCACUGUCUAGGAAACAUAGUUUUGUAGGACCAUUGCACUGGUGAAUGGCCCUACAGUUGGAUGACUCAGCUGUAUCAGUAGCGUACAGUUGUGAAGAGAGGGCCAGGCUUCGUACUUCGCCCUUCGCAUACAGCUACUACAUCAUUCCGGUGCUAUGUGUGUAACUCACUGGAGGACCCUUCUUGUGAGAACAAUCCCAGAUUAGUGGCAGUGUGUCCAUACUUGGCUACAGGUUGUGUAAAAAUGACGGCACAUCAAGCAGUCCUCCAGAAAGAAUAUGGGAAGAAAGAGAAUGGUGUCAUAAAUUUUGACAUUUCAAUUAUAACUGUCAGGAGAUGCUCAAAUGUUUACUCGCGAUAUAAGUACCAGGCUGGAUGCCAAGACAUAUACAUGGCACUGAAGACUGAAAAUACUGAAGUAUGCUAUUGUGAAAGCUCAUUGUGCAAUUUUAGUUGUUGUGAAAAAUUUUCUCUUAUUUUACUAUUAUUUAUAAUGCCAACAAUGCUUUAAAUAAAUUUUACAUGGAAGGA